AGAGGGGGCAAGCGUUGUUCGGAAUUACUGGGCGUAAAGGGCGCGUAGGCGGCCUUCUAAGUCGAACGUGAAAUCCCCGGGCUCAACCCGGGAACUGCGUCCGAUACUGGAAGGCUUGAAUCCGGGAGAGGGAUGCGGAAUUCCAGGUGUAGCGGUGAAAUGCGUAGAUAUCUGGAGGAACACCGGUGGCGAAGGCGGCAUCCUGGACCGGCAUUGACGCUGAGGCGCGAAAGCCAGGGGAGCAAACGGGAUUAGAUACCCCGGUAGUCCUGGCCCUAAACGAUGAAUGCUUGGCGUGGCGGGUAUCGAUCCCUGCCGUGCCGAAGCUAACGCAUUAAGCAUUCCGCCUGGGGAGUACGGUCGCAAGGCUG
rnacentral:rRNA from 1 species